GGGGGUAUAGCUCAGUUGGUAGAGCGCCUGAAUGGCAUUCAGGAGGCCAGGAGUUCGAAUCUCCUUACCUCCACCA
rnacentral:tRNA from 2 species